rnacentral:snoRNA from 1 species
GGUCAGUGAUGAACAUUAAGAGGUCUGAUUACCCACAAUCCUCUCCUGCUGCUCUCUGGCCCCAGCAGCCCCUGCUCUCUCCUCCCAUCAUGCUCUAGUGGUGCAGCAGUGGUUGCAGGAGCUGCAAACAGACAGGAAGUGACAUCAGUGUGAGCCUGUACAGAGAUUCUAUUGGCUCAAAGUGAUGACUGACUUCCAACAUAACCAAUCAGGACGGAGCGUGAGGCUGAAGAGGAGGAGGGAGCUGAUCUCAAGUUUUCAACCUGAGACC